rnacentral:tRNA from 1 species
GCAUUGGUAGUUCAGUGGUAGAAUUCUCACCUUCUAUGCCGGAGACCCAGGUUCGAUUCCCAGCCAAUGCA